UACGUAGGGGGCUAGCGUUGUCCGGAAUCAUUGGGCGUAAAGAGCGUGUAGGCGGCCCGGUAAGUCCGCUGUGAAAGUCGGGGGCUCAACCCUCGAAUGCCGGUGGAUACUGUCGGGCUUGAGUACGGAAGAGGCGAGUGGAAUUCCUGGUGUAGCGGUGAAAUGCGCAGAUAUCAGGAGGAACACCGGUGGCGAAGGCGGGUCUCUGGGCCGAUACUGACGCUGAGGAGCGAAAGCGUGGGGAGCGAACAGG
rnacentral:rRNA from 1 species